AACGCGAAGAACCUUACCCGGGCUUGAACUACUCAUGGUAGGCCGAUAGAAACAUUGGCCGACCCGCAAGGGAGUGAGCAGAGGUGCUGCAUGGUUGUCGUCAGCUCGUGUCGUGAGAUGUUGGGUUAAGUCCCGCAACGAGCGCAACCCCUAUUCGAUGUUGCUAAUCCCGCAAGGGAUGCACUCUUCGAAAACUGCCUUCGAUAAGAAGGAGGAAGGUGGGGACGACGUCAAAUCCUCAUGGCCCUUAUGUCCGGGGCUACACACGUGCUACAAUGGCCGGUACAACGGGAAGCAAUACCGCAAGGUGGAGCAAAACCCUAAAAGCCGGCCCCAGUUCAGAUCGUGGGCUGCAACUCGCCCGCGUGAAGGCGGAAUCGCUAGUAAUCGCGAAUCAGCAGGUCGCGGUGAAUACGUUCCCGGGCCUUGUACACACCGUACGUC
rnacentral:rRNA from 1 species